GUAGAAGUCUUCUCAACUAUAAACCUCUGUCUUAACCUUCUUAAAUUGCAAUAAAUUCAUACAACGGAUAAUACAAGACAUGUUGAUCUUAAAGUUACUUAUUCGAACGAGUUUAUUUUGGCCGUCGUCGUCGCGUUGCCGUCACCUAUUUGCUAAAGGUCCCUAAUAUUCAAGACAAAAUAACAAUAACUAAGUACGUCUUAUGUAAUAAGUUAUAGUCUUACUGCAUUUAUAUAAG